rnacentral:lncRNA from 1 species
GGCGACACGCGCCCUCGUAAAGCAUGCGGCCGGCGUGGUUCACGAUGCGCCCGUGCGCGAUGCCCUCGGCGUCGACCUCGCCGCCUAGCGCGCUUGAUAUCGUUGCGGCGUCGGCGGCAAAGUGCGCUCUGUGGUCUGCGCGCGCGAGGACCGCCCUCGGCUGCGACGCCCCGUCCGAGGAUGACCACACGGCCUCGAUCCAGGCCGCCAGGUGGCCCGCGGCGUCGCGCCUAAUCUCGACGGCAUAGUCUGCAUUGCGCGAGCCGGGUGGCGACGCAUAGCGCGCGCAUACUUUGUCCGGUGGCGAGCCCGACACCAAUGGCCCGAGUGGCGAUCCCAAAGCCGAUGACCCGAGUGGCGGUGCCGACGUCGGACCGUCGCGGCGGCAGCGGGCCUCGACGUCGUGAACGAGGCACAGCCAGCGCCAGUCGCGACCGGCCGCGAUCAUGUGAGCAAAAGGCAGCGGAGGAGAAGAAGGAGACGAAAGCGAGUCGGCGUGCUGCGUCUCGCGCAACGACCCGUACGCGGUCAUGACGCCAGCGACGCUGCCCGUGUAGAGGGCGGACCCGUACAGCCGGCCAAAGACGUGGCGCCACAGGGGCUGGUCGACGGCGAUCUCGGCCAGGCGGCGGCACGUGGCCCCCAUGCGCACCAGGUCGACGGGGUCGAGCCACAGGGCGACGGCGACGACAAGUUCAGACGGGAGCGAGAUCAGGUCCGCUGGCGGCGGCGCGUAGCGCGUGCGCCGUCUUUGGCGUGGUCGCGCCGCCUCCUCUUCCUUGGCGGCGCCCUCUGUGCGGCGCUUGCGUGCGCGCCUCGAAAAGAGAGCGUCGUGAUGUGAUUCGGACCCGGUCUCGGCCGUCGGUUGCGUCACGACGACAGCAUCGAUGGCGGGAGCCGCCCGGUCCGUUUGCACCGCCGUGUCCAUCAAUGAGAGAAGGAAAAAAAAAGAAAAAACACAACAGAAAAAGAAGGACGUAUGCGCGUCGGAGAAAAAAGGCACAGAAAAAGGAAACAAAACCGACGCGUCGAGAGCGAGACGAGCGACGCGACGCCAAAAAGAGGCAGGAGGAUGAAAAAAAAAAGAACAACGGGUCGCGAGCGACGGCGGCCGCGACGCCAUCCCGGUCGCCCCGCUCGACGACCUGGCCCGCACCAAGGCUCUGAUUUCUUUUCUUCCCCCUUUUUUUCUCCCAACUCGGGUCGUCGUUCGAUUCCAAGGCGCACCGUGCUGCCGGUGGCCGACCUUUUUUGGGGCGCCCGCCGCCGACGGCAUCUGCGCCAGACAGAGCCGCUGCAUGCCGCCGGUCACCCCAAUUGAAAAAAAAAAGAGCACAAACCAGAAGCGCGCUGCAGCAGCCACGCCGCAAACCUGGUGCUAGCAAAAUAUACUCUUGCC